rnacentral:rRNA from 1 species
CGGGUCCUUUGGCGGCGUGCUUUACACAUGCAAGUCGAACGGUGAAGCCAAGCUUGCUUGGUGGAUCAGUGGCGAACGGGUGAGUAACACGUGAGCAACCUGCCCUGGACUCUGGGAUAAGCGCUGGAAACGGCGUCUAAUACUGGAUAUGAGACGUGAUCGCAUGGUCGUGUUUGGAAAGAUUUUUCGGUCUGGGAUGGGCUCGCGGCCUAUCAGCUUGUUGGUGAGGUAAUGGCUCACCAAGGCGUCGACGGGUAGCCGGCCUGAGAGGGUGACCGGCCACACUGGGACUGAGACACGGCCCAGACUCCUACGGGAGGCAUC